CAGCAGCCACGGGAAUACGAGGGGGGCAAGCGUUGUUCGGAAUUAUUGGGCGUAAAGGGUGCGUAGGCGGCUUGACAAGUCUUGUGUGAAAUCUUCAGGCUCAACUUGAAGUCUGCAUGGGAAACUGCGGGGCUGGAGUAUGGGAGAGGUGAGUGGAAUUCCUGGUGUAGCGGUGAAUGCGUAGAUAUCAGGAGGAACACCUGUGGCGAAAGCGGCUCACUGGACCAUAGCUGACGCUGAGGCACGAAAGCUAGGGGAGCAAACAGGAUUAGAUACCCCUGUAGUCCCUGUCUCUUAUACA
rnacentral:rRNA from 1 species